rnacentral:misc_RNA from 1 species
AUUUUUGGGCCCUUUUUUUGCAUUAGGGAACUACCUGGGUGAAUGAACUUUGGCCGUUAUCUUAUUCUUAGGUCCCUGCAGAUGAUAUCUCUCUGUGCAUUGCCUCAUUUGAGAGAUGGGCGAUGAUUAGACCCUAGAUUUUAUGCACAGAUAUUUGUGAUCUUGAAUGACACAAUUUCACAGCAUAGUUUUCUCUAAUCUCCAACUAGUCAUUUUACCUGUG